CCUGCUUGCUCUCAACAGGUGUUCAACAGUCUACGCGCGCUCCUAACUUGCUCAUGAGGCAAGUUGCUGUUGUGCUGGACCUGAGAAGAGGUCUGCUGCCUGCAAUGGGUCCAUCUCUCUCAAGUUAUCGCAGUAUUGUAGCUCUCAAAGUUCAAAAAAGUAUGGUGGAAGCUGUUGCCAAGGUUCCGACCAGAAAAGACAGCCAGUAUAAAAGGGUCCACACCACUGAUCUCUACUACAGGGGAUGGACAGUACAUCGAGCACCCUCGACUGAA